rnacentral:rRNA from 1 species
UGGGGAAUAUUGCACAAUGGGCGCAAGCCUGAUGCAGCAACGCCGCGUGAACGAUGAAGGUCUUCGGAACGUAAAGUUCUGUUGCAGGGGAAGAUAAUGACGGUAUCCUGUGAGGAAGCCCCGGCUAACUACGUGCCAGCAGCCGCGGUAAUACGUAGGGGGCUAGCGUUAUCCGGAUUUACUGGGCGUAAAUGGUGCGUAGGUGGUCUUUCAAGUCGGUGGUUAAAGGCUACGGCUCAACCGUAGUUAGCCUCCGAAACUGGAAGACUUGAGUGCAGGAGAGGAAAGUGGAAUUCCCAGUGUAGCGGUGAAAUGCGUAGAUAUUGGGAGGAACACCAGUAGCGAAGGCGGCUUUCUGGACUGAAACUGACACUGAGGCACGAAAGCGUGGGUAGCAAACAGG